rnacentral:rRNA from 1 species
AUUGAACGCUGGCGGCAUGCCUUACACAUGCAAGUCGAACGGUAACAGGUCUUCGGAUGCUGACGAGUGGCGAACGGGUGAGUAAUACAUCGGAACGUGCCUAGUAGUGGGGGAUAACUACUCGAAAGAGUGGCUAAUACCGCAUGAGAUCUACGGAUGAAAGCAGGGGAUCGCAAGACCUUGUGCUACUAGAGCGGCGGAUGGCAGAUUAGGUAGUUGGUGGGAUAAAAGCUUACCAAGCCGACGAUCUGUGGCUGGUCUGAGAGGACGAUCAGCCACACUGGGACUGAGACACGGCCCAGACUCCUACGGGAGGCAGCAGUGGGGAAUUUUGGACAAUGGGCGAAAGCCUGAUCCAGCAAUGCCGCGUGCAGGAUGAAGGCCUUCGGGUUGUAAACUGCUUUUGUACGGAACGAAAAGCCCCGGGUUAAUACCCUGGGGUCAUGACGGUACCGUAAGAAUAAGCACCGGCUAACUACGUGCCAGCCGCCGCGGUAA